UACCAGCACCCCGAGUGGUCGGGACGAUUAUUGGGCCUAAAGCCUCCGUAGCCGGUUCUACAAGUCUUCCGUUAAAUCCACCUGCUUAACAGAUGGGCUGCGGAGGAUACUAUGGAGCUAGGAGGCGGGAGAGGCAAGCGGUACUUAGUGGGUAGGGGUAAAAUCCGUUGAUCCAUUGAAGACCACCAGUGGCGAAGGCGGCUUGCCAGAACGCACUCGACGGUGAGGGAUGAAAGCUGGGGGAGAAAACCGG
rnacentral:rRNA from 1 species